rnacentral:lncRNA from 1 species
UCGUUUUAACUUGUUUUCCCGUUAAAAACCUGUUUGGCGCCCGUUCUAUAGGCAACUCUCUUUACAUUUUAGAAUCUCAUCUAACCUUGUGUUCUGUGUUCAUUACUUCAUACUUACUUAGUCGUUAUUUCAAAUUUCAUGUUCUGUGUUGUGUGUUUCGCUCAUAUGACAGUGACACUUCGUCUCUCAGCAAGACAGAGCAUUUAGAGUGGUGGAAAACUAAUUUCACUCUAAAAAUCAAUUGAAGGCUAAUAAUAGCUAUUUAUUUCAACAAAUCAUCUCUUGGAUUUUUGGAAAUGAAUCACUUCUCUCCCUUCGGGAGCCACCUGCCUUUAUCACCGAUGAUGCACACUUUAAGGCCAAGACAACAGGAUGCAUCAAACAGACAGCAGCACCCAACAUCUCUAGUUGCAGCGACCUAGGGCCACAACACCUGCCCAGGUCUGCAAGUCAACAGAUGUACCAUUUGACAUCUAGAAGUUACCAUUGAACCAACAUCACAAAACAUGCAUAAGUAUAAUCCAAGAAUUUUUAGUUUUUG